GGCCUGGGAAGGCAGUAGAGGAUGGCCCAAAUGCUUGGGCCCCUGCACUCGCAUGAGAGACCAGGAAUAAGCACCUGGCUCCUGGCUUCGGAUUGGCGUAGCACUGGCCAUAGUGGCCAUUUGGGGAGUGAAUCAACGGAAGGAAGACCUUUCUCUCUGUCUCUCCCUCACUGUCUAUAACUCUACCUGUCAAAUAAAUUUUUAAAAAAUUGAAUAUGUGGGAAUAUAACAACUUUCAUAGGAAAGUGAGGAAAUUGUAUGGUUGAAGUGAUGAAAAUACUAAAAAAAAAUCAUAUUUUGAGUACAGUUUGGUAGACUUUGAGAUCUAUUAGCCUGAAAAUAAAAACAGGAAAGAGAGGCGAGGUUUAAAAUUACUGUCAUGUGUAUGAAGAGACGUCCCUUAGAAGAUCUGGAUAAAAUGUCUCAUCCCUAGUAUGUGGGAAAGGAGGGGCAAAACAAAACAGUGAGCCAAGGGUGGGAGUUUAGGCAAUUGUGUGCAGACAGUGUGCUGACACCAUGCCAGGGACUCUGGGUGGAAGGGUGAGUGAUGUAUGAGCUUUCCCUCAAGGAGCUUGUUGUCUCGUGACCGAGACUUGAUGGGCGCCUCACAACAGGUGUGUGUGGAGCUGUAGAAAUGAAAGACGAGUAGCAACUGUUCAGUCUAUGGAGGCGGUCAAGGGAAGGUUCCCAGAAAGCAUAGCAUUGGGUCUGAUUGGGAGCUGGCCAAGGCACCUGAGAAAAGGGAGACAUUGUAGAUUAGGGUCUGACAUGAGCAAGGACUGGUAGUUGACAGAUAUAAGCAGAUGGGGAUUCGAGAGAAAAAAGAUAAUACAGGGUUAAGAAUAUGGAUUCUGGGGUCAGAUGAUCUCAUCAUUGUUUCCUCGAUACUUGCUGGUGUCGUGACCCUUGGCAAAGUAUUUCAUGUAGAUUUCAGUGUUCCUGUCUAAAAAAGAAAAAAAUAGCACCUUUCUCAGAGUGCUGUUACACAGAUUAGAUGACGUAUGAAAAGCGUCUUUCCUCCAUGAAUGGUACAUGCUCAGUAAAUGUUUGUUGCUAUUAGUUGUAGUGGAAUUGAAAAACGGCUGAAGAAUCCUGAGAAGAAUAAUAGACUAAAUGUUAGGAAAUGUGUCAUGAUGUGUGUGUACAUAGGAUUUUGUAAUAGUUUUUGAUUGAAUCCUUCAUGCUUGUACCAGCAACAUAGGGAAAUGCGCAUUUUUGCACAUGAUAAUGAAUAUCUGUUCUGUUACCAUUUAUGACGACUGUUAUUUCCAUCAUCUUAAGAGAAGUGUCCCUAUAUUUGCACAAAUAUGACCAAGACAAAGCACAAAAAAAAAUCAGGUAAGGAUGGCUUUAUGGGUCUCAUGCUGUGUAUUUGACAUCAAAAUGACCAGUCACAUGAGUUCCUAAGUGUUCUGUUUGGUUUUGGUAUAAAUAAGGGAUUGCGUUUUCUGGGCUGAGAAGGAGACUUUAAAAUGUUUCUCAUAAAGUGAGUGAAAAUCUGGGGCUGUCAGUUAACGGGUCUUGUCACCGGAAUGGAAUUCAGUCUCAGUUCCACCAACCUGCUGGCUGUAACUCUGCGCACACAUCAAGUUCUCUUGAGUCCAUGUCCUGAUCUAUUAAGUUGAGGUCAUAAUGAUCGGAGUUACCUCACAGGGAAAUUGCACAACAGAAUGAAAUAAUGCCUGACAAUGCCUAAUAUCUCACCAUGCACAGAGAGGGUAACACAUCGAUCUCUUCAUCCAGUAUCUUUAAUUUAGCAUCUCCUACUUGCAGCAUCGCCCAUAUGAGUCUUGAGUUGUUAGAGGUCAACUUUAGAAGCAGCUGUCGUGUUUAUGUGGACUUGAGGCUGAAGUUCUGUCGGAAAUUCAGUGGCUCAUCCUGUGUACCCGUCCACCAUCCUCUUGCCUCACUGGAUGCCUGAAUCAGUGCGGAUCACUUGGUCUUGGGCUGUGGACUUAAACUUCUCAUAAGGAGAAGAAAUAUAGCAAAUACUCAGAUCUUCCUGCUGUUUCAACAACAGAACAUCCAUUUGCAGAUCGUGUAUGUGCUCACCUGUGUAUGUACUGUGUGGACUUCAGUUUCCUCUAACCCUUGACAGCAGCCUGAGGAAAGCACAAGUAAGACUAAAGCAAACUUGUUAAGAAAUCAUGGGGCCAGCACUGUGGCACAGUGGGUAAAAUCCACUGCCUGCAGCGCUGACAUCCCAUGUAAGUGCCAGUUCGUGUCCUGGCUGCUCCACUUCCAAUCCACCUCUAAUGUGUGUGGGAAGGCUAAUUUGUGUGGGAAGGCAAUGGAGGAUGGCCUAACUCCUUAGGCCCCUUGCACAUAUGUGGGAGACCCAGAAAAAGCUCCUGGCUUUGGCCUGGCUCAGCCCUGGCCAUUGUAGCCAUUUGGGGAGUGAAUCAGCAGAUAGAAGUUCAAUCAAUCAAUCUCUCUCUCUCUCUCAGUGUAUCUCUCUUUUUUUCUCUCUCCCUCCCCCUCUCCCUCUCUGCAACUCUGCCUUUCAAAUAAAUCAACCUCAAAAAAAAAAAAAAAUCUGUUCAUCUAUUGGCUGAUUUAUUUUCAAGAGCAUGCUCUGACCUUGAAUAGUCCUUGCUUUGGUAGUGCAGCACGUAUACGUGGAUGAUGAACAUAUGUGGUAUGUGCCAAUUUGGAGGUAUGGACAAAUGCUGUGGAACAAGAAAUGGAGGAAUAAUUACAUUUUCAUAGGGAAAGAGAGAGUGCUUCGAAGAGAGCAUGUCUUUGAGCUGGGUUUUGAAGGAUAAGUAGGACAUUGCCUGAGCCAAGGCUAAAGGAUUGAUUACUGUGAAGUUGGGAGGGUUGAGUUGAGGAGGUUAUAUGAGUGGAAGGAGCACUGGCUAGCAUGUAGACAGGGCUUGCUGUGGGCCACACACAAUCUUAGGUGCUUUCCACACAGUGCCUUGUAUAGGCCUCUCAGCUGCUCAAAUCCUUUCCUUAUGGGUGAGGAACGAUGCACGCUGCACUCAUUUGCCAAAGAUUGCCCAGCUGCCAGUGGGGCUGGGCUUCAAUCCCAUGCAUUAUAGCUCCUGCAUUAGAUUCCCCUGCAGAGAAAACUUCCCUUUGCUUUCAGGAUGGGACUUGCAGAGCUGUAGUGCCUAGGACUCGAGAGGCCUUAUUUUCUUCUCCAUUGGUUCUGCAAUCUUCCCAACUGUUUCUUCCUUCAUCAGUGAACAAUUUGCAUCCUCAAAUCCCUCACUGUGUUACUAUGUGUUUGUGUUUUUUCUGUGUUCUCUCACUAUGUGCCUGCGUAAAGCUUAGGAACACUGAGUUAUGGGGGAAAGCGGAAAUGAGUAUUUCUCUGAAUAAUCUAAUGGCGCUAUUAUCUCACAUUUUAUAGGACCCUAAACACACCAUGCAUAUGGGACACACCCCUGUGGACUCAGAGGGGGCCUGCCACCCUGUUGCAGGCCAGAGAGCCUCAGCCCCUGGCAAAAGUCGUCAAAGGAUGGUAGACCAGGAAGCCUGGUAAUGUCUCCUUCCUGGCCCAGGCCCACUGUGCCGCCACCCCUCCCCAACACCAUUGGCCACACACCCAAGGAUGGAGGGAGGGAUUCAACAAAAGGCUGCUUGGAGAUUGGUUGGCACCCCUGCUUAAGACUGUUGUCACGUCCCUUCCUGCACCUACUACCUAGGCAUGACAGGUGACAGGCGGGCAGCCCAUCAGGUUGCUUUGUUUCUCCCUUGUUCCCCUUCCUUCUCAAGCUUGCGGCCUCCUGCUGGUGAUGAAGAUGCCUUUGGGCUUCAUUUGCCAGAGGCAGACAUUGUUCACAUCUUCGGUUUUCAAACACUUGUGCUUCCCAUACAGACCAAGCUGCAGAUCGCUCACUUUGUUCUUUUCUCAGCGUUAGAAACAGGGGCUCCUUACCUUCACUAUAGCUUGGACAUAGUGCUCUUUUUGCUCCUAACUUUGUCAUAGAAGUCUGUAAUUGCUGAGCUAUCAUUAAUGUGUUUGGUGGUAAUGUCACUACCUUCUUAGGUUUGUGGAUAGGGAACACUAGAUGCUAACAAAGCAUCCAUAAGAUUUUGACAUUGACUGGCCUGUUGGAAGCUCUCCCUGGUCCAGGAAACUUCACAUCCUGCAGUUCUCCAGUGAAGAGUGGUUAGCUGCACCAAGCUGGAAUGCAUGUGCAAAGCAGCAUGGUUUAUUCCCAUGUGGUUUUUGCUGUUCUGUCUAGAACACAAAAUAAUCUGGAUACAUUUUUACAUAUUCCUUCUCCAAUAGCCAGAUAUAUGGGCCUACUUAGCUGCAGGUAACCUUUGCCGUCUUAACUCUUUGCCCUAUGCAUUUGUCAGAGGAGAUAUUUGGGAUACGAGCUCAUUAGCAGAUCCGUUCUUCCAUCCAAUUUUCUUGGUACUUAUCAGUGACUACUCUUUAGAAAAGUGCAUGUUCUGAAAGGUAGGGAGAAUUAUAUAUUUCACCUGUAGUGUGAAGUUUGGCCAGCUCAUUUUCUUAGUGAAGUGAGCUACUGGAAUGUCUUCAGAUAAGCUGAGAUGCAGUUAGGAGGGAGUGCUGUCUCCUAGCCUUGCUCCUGUUUCUCUUUAAAAUUCCUGGGCUGCCCUUAGCAUUGGCAUGUGUUUCCAUUUACCCCAUAGUUCUUAGGACUCAAUGUAGCGCUUGUACUUCUGAAGAACGCUUAUUAAAAAGCCCGUCUGCCUGACUUUCAGCUUGCAUUGAUCAAAACUCUAGGCCCCACAAACCAUUACAAGGACUUCUGUGCAAAAGGAGAGGGAAAGAUGCUUAGCUACAAGGUUAAAGACUGGACGUGUUUUCGCAAAAUGACAAAAGGAAAAUAAGUAGACAAAGUACCUUUUAAAACUUCAGUUUUGUUAUAAGAGUUAAUGAUUGCAUGAUUAAUUCGAAUAAAAAGAAAAGGAAAGAAAGAAAUACAGACACAUAAAGAGGUAAAAUGUAAAGAAAAAGUCCUUUUUUCCCCCUCCCCCAACCAUGAGGAAGCUGUUAACAGUUUUAAAUGUAUUCUUCCAGAAAGAUCGCACUUGCCUGUGGCCAUGUAUGCAUAUAUAUGCCUUAUAUGCCUGUCCUUUUCUUACUUGUAGAAAAUCCAAAUUGAAUUACAACAGGAUCCUACUCUGUGUCUUUUCUUUUUCACUUAAUCUUUGGGAGGUUUUUAUUUUCAGAGAUUGAGCCCAAUCUUCUAUUGGGAAUGACCACAUGAAGAGUAGCAAUCAAUUUAGGUGAUUCCAGUUUUUUCCAUUUGGUUGUUUCCAGCCAUUGUUCAUGCUGUAAUAGCUAUUCUUCUUCACGUACGUGUUUUCCUUGACUGAAUAUUUCUGAAGGAUCAAUGCCUAGAAAUGAACUAGCUAGCCUAAAGAGCAUGUGCAUGUUUUAUUUAGAUCAAUAUUGCCACAUCACUUCCCUGAAAAGGCUGUGGAUUUAUCCCCAUCCCUAAAACUGAGUUUACAACUUCCAGACUUUACACAGGUCAGCCAUCUUCUCGUAUACUUACUGGCUGUUUUUAUUUCUUUUUGUGCAUAUCCUGCUUAGUUUCU